UACGUAGGGGGCAAGCGUUGUCCGGAAUCAUUGGGCGUAAAGAGCGUGUAGGCGGCCCGAUAGGUCUGCUGUGAAAACUCGAGGCUCAACCUCGAGACGUCGGCGGAAACCAUCUGGCUAGAGUCCGGAAGAGGAGACUGGAAUUCAUGGUGUAGCAGUGAAAUGCGUAGAGAUCAUGAGGAAGACCAGUGGCGAAGGCGGGUCUCUGGACAGUUCCUGACACUGAGACACGAAGGCCAGGGGAGCAAACGGG
rnacentral:rRNA from 1 species